rnacentral:ncRNA from 1 species
GACAAUGGCUGCGGGUAUCCUCGGCGCGCGUUUAUCGAGUCUUUAUAGACGAGAUUACGGCGUCGGGGGUUGAGAAAAACCGCUUGAACCUGAACAGUGCUCAAACCUGCGUAGGGAAGCCUCCGGUGUUCACA